AUACUGUUUAAGUGUUCGGGUUCCAUGGAGGCCAAGCCUCCGGGAUUAAACGGGAACACGGUAGGGACGACCCGCAACGGGGCCUGAUCCGUGGCUGCCCUCGCAACUGUGAGCGUGAGCCUGCAUCCAUGAUGCCACUGGGAAACCGGGAAGGCGGAUGCGGGCGAAAAAGCGUGAGCCAGGAUACCUGCCCGGACUGUGGCGGCCGC
rnacentral:ncRNA from 1 species